rnacentral:rRNA from 1 species
CAAAAACAUGUCUUCUUGUUAAGAAGUCUGACCUGCCCAGUGAAUUUUAACGGCCGCGGUAUAUUGACCGUGCAAAGGUAGCAUAAUCAUUAGUCUUUUAAUAGGGGGCUGGAAUGAAGGGUUUGACGAGGUGUUUACUGUCUCAUUUUAUUUGAUCUUAAAAUUUAACUUACAGUCAAAAGGCUGUAAUAAUAUUGGAAGACGAGAAGACCCUAUAGAGCUUUAUAUAUAUUUUGUUGGGGUGACAAAAAUAUAUAAUGAACUUUUUUAUUUAUUAAACGUUGAUAAAUGAUUAGGAGAUCCAAUCUUAUUGAUUGUUAGAACAAGUUACCUUAGGGAUAACAGCGUAAUCUUUCUUCAGAGUUCAUAUUUACAAGGCUUGCGACCUC